rnacentral:lncRNA from 1 species
GUUAACAGUUAAUUCUGAUUAUCAAAGUAGAAGCCAGUGACCUCAGGAUGAGCAAGGUCCCAUCGAAGCAGCCCCGGACUGCUCACUGCUCUCCUGUUCGCUCUGCUUGGGCCACAGUGGCCCCCAGAGCUCCCGCCUCUACCUGCCUCAGGGCCUUUGCACUUGCUGAGGAUUUUUAUGUGAGCUGUCCCACCACUGUCAGCACAGAAAAUGGGCGCUGAUGUCCGCUGAGUGAAUUAAUAAGCACGUUUCCUUCUGGAAUCAGUGACCACUCUGCAGUGCUUACCUUACAUAUGGUAUCUUUGUCAGAAAACAUCCUCAUCCAUGCUGUUUAGAUUAAUUUGGUGGUUGGGGAAAAGAACCUAACAUACAGCAGUCUUCACAAAAGCCACGUCCUUACAGCGGCAGAGAGAGACCCACUUAAACGUUCUAUUGUCUCUAUUUUGGCUGCCGUGGAACAAGAGGCAGGCGUGUGAGAUACAGACCUCUCCAUGGGUUCGGUGGUAUGACCACUGUCCUUGAACCCAGACCAGAGGGGGCUGCCACAGAGUAAUUGACGGGCCUUGUUUUCCCUCCCUAGACACUGUCCCUGGGUCACAGGUCACACAAAGACCAGCUGUGUGGCUCCACUGGUCACUGGUCCUUCCCACGGGGCAGCUGAAGCCUUGAGGACAAUUUCCACUGGAAAGGGAAUGUGGGAUGAGGAGCUGCCCGAGGACCCAGACCGGGGAGGGGAUGCAGAGGGAAAGGACUGCCGGCGUCCUCUCGUUUCAGGUCCAGGUUCCCGAAGUCUGGUCCGUGGAGGGAAACGUGUGUGGAAUGAACCCUCUGCGGGUCUCCAAUCUGGCUGCUUUCCAGGGCCUUGUGGGGACAAGCCUGGCACCAGUGCAAAGGCAGAGCCCCGACAGCCCCCUUUUGGGACCUGGUUCCUCCGAGGUCCUGCAUCUGCGCCAGUGGCGAGCAGCGUCACCGUCAGCCUUAAAUGCCGCAGAUAGUCCUGCAUCAACUCAUGUGCGCUAUACGAAACUUAAAAUAGCACAGCGUUUCAGAACCACCGCCUCAUGAAGACUCUUACGCUGAGAACAUGUUUACAAACACACUUCCCAACGUCUCUGCAGGAGUCUGCGCAGGACGCGCACAGUUCUAAAGCUGGGGACGUUGUCACCACCCGCCCUUCCGAGUAGAGGCAGCAGUCUGCAGGAUCCACAGGUCACAUGAGGGCACCCAGGCCCUGACCCCCUGCUGCAGCGAGGCCAUGCCAGUCGCUGAUUUCACUCUGAUUCUACUUCUUAGAGUCUUGCGAUAUAAUUAUAUUUUCUCUCCAUUUGAGUUUUACUUCCCUAAAUAAACAUUUGAUUUUGAG